rnacentral:lncRNA from 1 species
AGGAGAGCCCGGAGCCGGAUCCACUCUCAGCCUCAGGAAGCAGCAGCCUCCGCUCCGCGGCGGGUGUGCUCGGCAGUCACAGACCCACUCAGGACACCUCCCGUUGCCGACGGGCUAGACCUGCCUUAAAGGGGUCCCCGUGUCUCUCCAGUCUAGAGCCUAAGUUCAAACGAGGCGUAUAGGCGAGGACAGCAGGAAGGCUCCAAGUCAAACAAACGGAUGCCCACAGGGAAGUGGUCUUGGGAAACCUGAAGACACUGGGAUAUUCAGAAGGCCAAGGGGAUCCAGCUUAUCCUGUUGGGCAAGGUGCUGGGAGUGAAGGCAGGAACUACCAAAGCCACGGAUCAGCUGAGUUACCCGGGCUAAUAGCAGGAGGAAACAGUGUCAGAGAGGGAUCUGGCUGAUCUUCAACUCCACUAAGUUCUCCCCAAGGUAUAGCCAUCCUUAUCAUCAAACCCUCUUUUCUGGUAUUCUCUCAAUCCAGUCUUUCAUACUCUAUUCCCCCACCAUGUAAUCUGCAUCCUUUCAUUUUUCUUUUCCACUUCCCUUACCACUGAUCCCAUCAUUACCAUAUUUUCCUCAUACCUUCUUCCCCUCGAAGUCGCUCAGCCUGUCCACGCUCAAUCAAAGCCUCAGCCUCCUUCACAAAUGCCACUAAACCCCCAAAAGGGGGAGACAGCAACUCUUCAAUGAAUUCCUGGAAAGACACAAACACAUAUACACAGGUGUCCUGGUGUCAGCAGAUUUGCCCAAUUCUGGCAUCAUGACUAAUGUAGAUCCAUCUGAAUGGCAUCUUUCAGCUGCUGCAAAAGUUAAGGAAAAUCCUCUAUGGAGAAAAAUAUCCUCAAUCCUAAUUUUGGCCCAUACAGUUCCCCUGGUUAAGAUCAAACAAUGAACUCAAAGAUCACUAGACACAAAAGAAGGGCAGCUACCAAGAGAGUCAGCAGACACAAUAAGCAAUAGCUGCUGACCUUAAGAACUAUCCGAUACGGAUAGCAGUUGUACUGUGUGCAAUGUCUAAAGUUAAGGAUAGGCCGGGCACAGUGGCUCACGCCUGUAAUCCCAGCACUUUGGGAGGCUGAGGUGGGCAGAUCACCUGAGGUCAGGAGUUCAAGACCAGCCUGGCCAACAUGAUGAAACCCCAUCUCUACUAAAAAUACAAAAAUUAGCUGGGCAUGAUGGUGGAUGCCU